UAUCUCUGUAGAGUCUGCAUAUCAAUAAGCGGAGGAAAAGAAACUAACAAGGAUUCCCUUAGUAACGGCGAGUGAAGCGGGAAGAGCUCAAAUUUGAAAUCUUCAAGGUUCUACCUUGACGAAUUGUAGUUUAAAGAAGUGUUUUCUGUUAGAUGAGUAGCAAAAGUUCCUUGGAAUGGGACAUCAUAGAGGGUGAGAAUCCCGUAUUUGGUUAUUCAUUCUAGCUUUGUGAUACACUUUCAAAGAGUCGGAUUGUUUGGGAAUGCAGUCCAAAAUGGGUGGUAAAUUUCAUCUAAAGCUAAAUAUUGGCGAGAGACCGAUAGCGAACAAGUACCGUGAGGGAAGGAUGAAAAGAACUUUGAAAAGAGAGUUAAACAGUACGUGAAAUUGUCAAAAGGGAAGCGUUUGACACCAGUGUUGUUUUUCCGAAAAUCAAUUACGAAUGGCUUGAUUUUGUGUUGUAUUGACCUUAUCAGCUUUCUGCACUUUUUUCGAGUCUUUCUUAAUGCACUUUUCGGUUAACAAGUCAACAUCAAUUUCUUUUGUUGUAAAAGAGUAUUCGGAAGGUGGCUUUCUUUUCGGAGAAAGUGUUUAUAGCCCUAUACUUCUACAAUCGGAGAGAUUGAGGUCUGCAGCGUAGAUCCUUCGGGGUUAGAUACACUUUGUGCUAAGUUGUAGCUUUUCAUAGACAACUUGUUGACUAUGUUUAGUCAUGCGGCUUACUCGCUUAGUGCUAUUUUACCUACGCUUAGGAUGUUGACUGAUAUGUAGUCGUA
rnacentral:rRNA from 1 species